AUUGAACGCUGGCGGCAGGCUUAACACAUGCAAGUCGAGCGGAGAUGAGGUGCUUGCACCUUAUCUUAGCGGCGGACGGGUGAGUAAUGCUUAGGAAUCUGCCUAUUAGUGGGGGACAACAUUCCGAAAGGAAUGCUAAUACCGAAUACGUCCUACGGGAGAAAGCAGGGGAUCUUCGGACCUUGCGCUAAUAGAUGAGUCUAAGUCGGAUUAGCUAGUUGGUGGGGUAAAGGCCUACCAAGGCGACGAUCUGUAGCGGGUCUCAGAGGAUGAUCCGCCACACUGGGACUGAGACACGGCCCAGACUCCUACGGGAGGCAGCAGUUGGGAAUAUUGGACAAUGGGGGGAACCCUGAUCCAGCCAUGCCGCGUGUGUGAAGAAGGCCUUAUGGUUGUAAAGCACUUUAAGCGAGGAGGAGGCUACUGAGACUAAUACUCUUGGAUAGUGGACGUUACUCGCAGAAUAAGCACCGGCUAACUCUGUGCCAGCCGCCGCAGUAA
rnacentral:rRNA from 1 species